GAUGAACGCUGGCGGCGUGCCUAAUACAUGCAAGUCGAGCGAACGGACGAGAAGCUCGCUUCUCUGAUGUUAGCGGCGGACGGGUGAGUAACACGAGGAUAACCUACCUAUAAGACUGGGAUAACUUCGGGAACCCGGAGCUAACACCGGAUAAUAUUUUGAACCGCAUGGUUCAACGGUGAAAGCCGGAUCUGCUGACCCUAAUACAUGGUACCGCGCUGCAUUAGCUAGUUGGUAAGGUAACGGCUUACCAAGGCAACGAUGCAUAGCCGACCUGAGAGGGUGAUCGGCCACACUGGAACUGAGACACGGUCCAGACUCCUACGGGAGGCAGCAGUAGGGAAUCUUCCGCAAUGGGCGAAAGCCUGACGCAGCAACGCCGCGUGAGUGAUGAAGGUCUUCGGAUCGUAAAACUCUGUUAUUAGGGAAGAACAUAUGUGUAAGUAACUGUGCACAUCUUGACGGUACCUAAUCAGAAAGCCACGGCUAACUACGUG
rnacentral:rRNA from 1 species